rnacentral:rRNA from 1 species
GUCUGGUGCCAGCAGCCGCGGUAAUUCCAGCUCCAAUAGCGUAUAUUAAAGUUGUUGCAGUUAAGAAGCUCGUAGUUGAAUUUCUGCCUUAUCAUUAAUUUCGCUUCCGAACGUAAUUUUAUUGAUUUGGCAUCUUCUGGAUUUAUAUUUUUAUUAAUAUUUUUCCAGUAUUUACUUUGAGAAAACUAGAGUGUUUCAAACAGGCUAUUGCCUUGAAUACUACAGCAUGGAAUAAUGAAGUAGGACUUUGGUUCUAUUUUGUUGGUUAUCGAACCAUAGUAAUGGUUAAUAGGAGCAGUUGGGGGCAUUCGUAUUUAACUGUCAGAGGUGAAAUUCUUAGAUUUGUUAAAGACGAACUACUGCGAAAGCAUUUGCCAAGGAUGUUUUCAUUAAUCAAGAACGAAAGUUAGGGGAUCGAAGACGAUCAGAUACCGUCGUAGUCCUAACCAUAAACUAUGCCGACUAGAGAUUGGAGGUCGUCAGUUUAAACGACUCCUUCAGCACCUUGAGAGAAAUCAAA